UUAAGAGCAUAUGGUGGAUGCCUUGACUCCUAUAGGCGAUGAAGGACGUAGCGUGGCUGCGAUAAGCUUCGGUGAGGUGCUAAGCAACCUUUGACCCGAAGAUCUCCGAAUGAGGAAACUCCUCCGUUUUUACGGAGACCGUUCCAGCUUGACUGGACGGAGCAAACCCAGGGAAGUAAAACAUUUCAGUACCUGGAGGAAUAGAAACCAAUGUCGCAAGACAUAUUUCCUGAGUAGCGGCGAGCGAAAAGGAAUAAGCCCAAACUCAGUUUCAUUCUCACGGCGCGCGGUAGGCUGCUUGCAGCUUAUCUUUGUUUCGUGGGAAUGAUACUGGGGGUUGUAAGGCAAUGACGUCGUUUUUUAAACGAGAAGAGUUACAAAAUCAAAUGAUAACGGAAGGCGCUGGAAAGCGCAGCUCUAAAGGGUAAUAGCCCCGUACGUGAAAUCAUCAUGAUCUCUUUUGUCAUUGUUCUUGAGUACUUCGAGACACGAAUACCUCGGAGGAAUCUGCCGGAACUAACCGGUAAGGCUAAAUACUAAUAGGAGAUCGAUAGUGAACUAGUACCGUGAGGGAAAGGUGAAAAGUAGCCCGAUAAGGGCGGUGAAAUAGACCUGAAACCAUAUGUUUACAAGGAGUCGAAGAGGGCGCAAGUCCUCGACGGCGUGCCUAUUGAAGAAUGAGCCAACGAGUUCAUGUAUGCUGCAAGGCUAAGUCCCGAUAAAGGACGGAGCCGUAGGGAAACCGAGUGUUAAUAGCGCGUAAGUAGCAUAUAUGAGACCCGAAGCCAAAGUGAGCUUGCCAUGAGCAGGGUGAACGUCGCAGAAAUGUGGCGGGAGGCCCGAACCUAUUAGCCGUGCAAUACUUCAGGAUGACUUGUGGUAAGAAGUGAAAAGCUAAUCGAACUUGGUAAUAGCUGGUUCUCUCCGAAAUAGCUUUUGGGUUAGCGUCAAAUGUUUCCGUGAGGGGUAGAGCACUGGAAGAUUUCAACAGGGCGAAAGCUCGUGAAAUCUAUCAAACUCCGAAUACUCACGGUCAGAAUUUGGCAGUUAGACUCCGGGGGCUAAGCUCCGGUGGUCAAAAGGGAAACAGCCCAGAUCUCAAUUUAAGGUCCCUAAAUCUACACUAAGUGCGAGGGAGGUGGUGGAGUUUCGUAGACACUGAGGAGGUUGGCUUAGAAGCAGCCACCCUUUAAAGAAAGCGUAACAGCUCACUCAGUAAGAGACUCUGCGCCGCAGAUUAACGGGGCUAAGUGUAGUACCGAAACUGAGGAAUGUAUUCGCGUUCGCGCGAAUGAAUUGGUAGGAGAGUAUUUGCAUCUGCAGUGAAGGCAAAGGGGUGACCCAUGCUGGAGCGUUGCGAAGUAAGAAUGUUGGCACAAGUAACCACAAUGCGGGUGAGAACCCCGCACGCCGAAAGAUCAAGGUUUCCUUGGCAAUGUCAAUCAGCCAAGGGUUAGUCGGGCCUAAGGGGAUGGCGAAAGCCGCACCCGAUGGACAGCAGGUUAAUAUUCCUGCACUUUUUAAAAGAGUGAUGAGAGGACGGAGUUCUGUAGAACGCGUGCAUUAUUGGAUUUGCAUUCGUUUCGUGAGGAGGAAUACGAGGAAAAUCCCGUAUCUGCUUUAGAUAGCAACUUCAAGCGAAAGGGUAAUGCUUGGGCUUCGGCCCUGGCAAAUGCGUUUGAGCGGACUCCCAAGAAAAUUCUCUAAACUUAUCUUUUAAGGAACCGUACCUAAAACCGAAACAGGUGAUCUGGUCGAGUAGACCAAGGCGAACGAGUGAGAGGUCCCCAAGGAACUCGGCAAAAAAGCAGCCGUAACUUCGGAAUAAGGCUUGCCCUUCUGUAAAAGGAGGGGCCGCAGCUAAAGUAUCUCUGGCAACUGUUUAUCAAAAACACAGCUCCCUGCGAACUCGUAAGAGGAUGUAUAGGGGGUGACACUUGACCAAUGCCAGAAGGUCAAACAACGACCGUGUAUCGUCGUAAGAUGAUUUGCUGAUUGUUGUAAGCCCUGGUGAAUGUCGGCCGUAACUAUAGACAUGACCGUUGUAGUUACGCAAAAAAAUCUUGCCAUAUGCUGGAAAAUCUGGGUUCAGAAUUUUUAAAAAUUCUGAACAAAAAAGUAUCGUUCAUUACUCAUCUCUUGUCGAAGAGAAAGUGACAAUGUGAACGCGCAGACAAUCAGCAGGAAAGGCUUCUAUCGCAAAAGUUUCUCAAUGGAACAAUGGCUUAAAGAUAUCGAUCCAAAAGAUGGGUAUUAUAUUGCAGGUUUCACAGAUGGAGAAGGAAGUUUUAAUCUCUCCAUAAAAAAAAGAAAUGAUUAUGCGGGAGAAUGGAAAAUUACAGCAUCGUUUAAUAUUUCUCAGAAGGAUAGGGUUAUACUCGCCUGGAUUAAGAAUAUCCUUGGGUGUGGCACACUUCGAGAAAGAAAAGAUGGAGUUGUCUACUAUGAAGUUACAAAUGUUACUUCAUUAAAAGAAAAAAUUAUCCCAUUCUUCAUUCGAUUCAACUUUAUUUCCGCUCGUAAAAAAGCAAAUUUCUCAAUUUUUAAGCAAAUUGUAGAAAAAAUGCACAACAAAGAUCAUCUUGAUCAAGAAGGAUUUAAAAAUAUUCUUGAAUUAAGAGAAAUCUUAAACGAAGGAAAGGGAAGAAAGAGAAAAUACAAUUUAUCAGAUGUGAUAAAGAUAGAAGAAUCCUCAGAGACUAUACGCAAGACGGUUUCAAAUCAAUUGGAUGUCGACGAUUUGAAGACGAUGAUAUAGUCCGACCUCUAUAGCGAUAUAGAGAUAACAAAAAAGUAGAAAUAAAAUUUGAUAAUCAGUGACUAAAAUUAUUGAGACAAAAUAAGUCGAAUCAUUAUGUUGUGCCGCUACAAGACAUGAACGGUCCUA
rnacentral:rRNA from 1 species